AGAGUUUGAUCCUGGCUCAGGAUGAACGCUGGCGGCGUGCCUAACACAUGCAAGUCGAACGGGAAGUAGCCUUCGGGCUGUGGAGAGUGGCGAACGGGUGAGUAACGCAUAGCUAACCUGCCCUCAAGAGGAGGACAACAUCUGGAAACAGGUGCUAAUACUCCAUAAGCUCACAUCGAAUAGAGAGACGUGAGAAAAGCGAAUGCGCUUGAGGAUGGGGCUGUGUAUCAUCAGCUAGAUGGUGAGGUAAAGGCUCACCAUGGCAACGACGAUUAGGGGACCUGAGAGGGUGACCCCCCACACUGGAACUGAGACACGGUCCAGACUCCUACGGGAGGCAGCAGUGAGGAAUAUUGCACAAUGGGCGCAAGCCUGAUGCAGCGACGCCGCGUGGGUGAAGAAGGAUUUCGGUCUGUAAAGCCCUUUUCUAUGUGACGAGAGUGGACGGUAGCAUAGGAAUAAGUCUCGGCUAACUACGUGCCAGCAGCCGCGGUAAAACGUAGGAGGCAAGCGUUAUCCGGAGUUACUGGGCGUAAAGCGCGUGCAGGUGGGUGAUUAAGUCACUUAUGAAAGCUCCUGGCUAAACUGGGAGAGGUUGAGUGAAACUGGUCAUCUUGAGUGGAUGAGAGGAAAGUAGAAUUCCGCGUGUAGUGGUGAAAUGCGUAGAUAUGCGGAGGAAUACCAGUGGCGAAA
rnacentral:rRNA from 1 species